rnacentral:rRNA from 1 species
AUUGAACGCUGGCGGCAUGCUUUACACAUGCCAGUCGAACGGUAACAGGCCGCAAGGUGCUGACGAGUGGCGCACGGGUGAGUAAUGCAUCGGAACGUGCCCAGUCGUGGGGGAUAACUACUCGAAAGAGUAGCUAAUACCGCAUACGAUCUAUGGAUGAAAGCGGGGGACCGUAAGGCCUCGCGCGAUUGGAGCGGCCGAUGUCAGAUUAGGUAGUUGGUGGGGUAAAGGCUCACCAAGCCAACGAUCUGUAGCUGGUCUGAGAGGACAACCAGCCACACUGGGACUGAGACACGGCCCAGACUCCUACGGGAGGCAGCAGUGGGGAAUUUUGGACAAUGGGCGCAAGCCUGAUCCAGCAAUGCCGCGUGCAGGAAGAAGGCCUUCGGGUUGUAAACUGCUUUUGUACGGAACGAAACGGCUCUGGUUAAUACCCGGGGCUAAUGACGGUACCGUAAGAAUAAGCACUGGCUAACUACGUG